rnacentral:rRNA from 1 species
UACGUAGGUGGCAAGCGUUAUCCGGAUUUAUUGGGCGUAAAGGGAACGCAGGCGGUCUUUUAAGUCUGAUGUGAUAGCCUUCGGCUUAACCGGAGUAGUGCAUUGGAAACUGGGAGACUUGAGUGCAGAAGAGGAGAGUGGAACUCCAUGUGUAGCGGUGAAAUGCGUAGAUAUAUGGAAGAACACCAGUGGCGAAAGCGGCUCUCUGGCCUGUAACUGACACUGAGGCUCGAAAGCGUGGGGAGCAAACAGG